GAUGAACGCUGGCGGCGUGCCUAACACAUGCAAGUCGAACGGAGAUUACGGACGGAAGUUUUCGGAUGGAAGCCUGUAAUUCUUAGUGGCGGACGGGUGAGUAACGCGUGGGCAACCUGCCCUAUACAGGGGGAUAGCAGCUGGAAACGGCUGGUAAGACCGCAUAAGUCGGUUAAAUCGCAUGAUUUGAUCGGGAAAUGAGCAAUCAGGUAUAGGAUGGGCCCGCGUCCGAUUAGCCAGUUGGCAGGGUAAAAGCCUACCAAAGCGACGAUCGGUAGCCGGACUGAGAGGGCGGACGGCCACAUUGGGACUGAGACACGGCCCAAACUCCUACGGGAGGCAGCAGUGGGGGAUAUUGCACAAUGGAGGAAACUCUGAUGCAGCGACGCCGCGUGAGUGAAGAAGUAUUUCGGUAUGUAAAGCUCUAUCAGCAGGGAAGAUGAUGACGGUACCUGACUAAGAAGCCCCGGCUAACUACGUG
rnacentral:rRNA from 1 species